UGUGUGUGUGUCUGUGUGUGUCCUGUUGGUGGUUAAAAAGCAAUUUGGGACUUCCUCUUUGAACAGUUGCCUUUUCCUCUCACACAAGGAGGAUUUCAUUUUGUUUGAGACGAGAAACCAAACCACACACCAAAGAGAGGGGUAUGAUGGCUAAGAAGCCCCCAAAACCAGCCCCUCGCAGGAUCUUCCAGGAAAGGUUAAAGAUUACUGCUCUACCUUUGUACUUUGAAGGUUUUUUGUUAGUCAAGCGGUCAGGAUACCGGGAGUAUGAGCAUUACUGGACAGAGUUGAGAGGAACUACACUUUUCUUUUAUACCGACAAAAAGAGUACAAUAUAUAUUGACAAAUUAGACAUAAUAGACCUCACAUGCCUUACUGAGCAGAAUUCAACUGAAAAGAAUUGUGCGAAAUUCACCCUUGUUUUGCCGAAAGAGGAAGUACAACUGAAGACAGAGAACACAGAAAGUGGGGAAGAAUGGAGAGGCUUCAUUCUUACAGUAACAGAGCUGUCAGUUCCCCAAAAUGUGUCACUCCUACCUGGGCAAGUAAUUAAACUACAUGAAGUCCUAGAGAGAGAAAAGAAAAGGAGGAUUGAGACAGAGCAGAGUACAUCUGUGGAAAAAGAGAAGGAACCAACUGAAGAUUAUGUGGAUGUACUGAACCCUAUGCCAGCAUGUUUUUAUACAGUGUCCCGGAAAGAGGCAACUGAGAUGCUCCAGAAGAACCCUUCUUUGGGAAAUAUGAUCCUGAGGCCUGGUAGUGACAGUAGAAACUACUCCAUCACUAUCCGGCAGGAGACAGACAUGCCAAGAAUCAAGCACUACAAAGUGAUGAGUAUAGGACAAAACUACACUAUUGAACUGGAAAAACCUGUCAAGAACCCAAUAUGGAAGGGAGAAGUGAAAAGUUGAAGAAAAAUCCACACGUUGCAUGAAAUACAAUGUGAAAGCUCCUUUGUGUAUCUUGAGGAAAGACUAUGUGAGACAGAGGGAGAAAACAGCCAUUGACAACUCAAGAAGAGAGGCCUCAGGGGGGAAAAAAAUCAACCUGGCCAAAACCUUGAACAUCUAGCUUCUUGAAUGGUGAGAAAAUAAAUUUAUGUUCUUUAAUCCACAUGGUCUGUGGUAUUUGUUACAACAAUCCUAGCAAACUAAUUCAGUGAGCUCCCUGGGAUGCCUGAAAAUAUGCAGAGUUCUCUCAGACUUACUGAAUUAUAAUUUCGGGGGUCGGGGGGGCGGCGCUGAGGCAGGUCCAGAAAUCUGCCUUUUAGGCACACACCACAGCUAAUUGCUAUACAUGACAAAUUUGAGAACCAAUUCUUUAAGAUAUAACAAAUUUGAGAACCAGUUCUUUAAGAUCUAUUAUAAUAUGAAGAUAAAUAAUCUGUGUAGCAAUAUAUGCAAAAUCAAGUAAGGCUUUCUUUUAAAUGGAGAGGCAGUGACAAUAAGGAAUCAUAAAUAUAAGAGUUGGGACAUAAAGCCUGAGCAUUAAUAUAAGUAUUUAUUGAAAUGUAUUAUUUAUAUAAAUCACUGUUAAUUGAUGUAAAAAUUACAAAAGAAGCACAUAUGUAUUAUUCUCAAGGGUUUUUACAAUUGAGUUGGUCAAAAUAUAGGUAGAUGAGACUAAAGAGCUCUAAUUUCUUAUCAUUUCAAAAUGUUGAGUGAAUUCUUGCAUUCUAUAAGAAAUUAGGGUGCUUAAUAUGAAAAACUUUUAAAAAGUAGAUUCCUAAAGUUGGUGACACAUUGUAGUUGAACGCAAUAAAUGGAAAAGUAACUGACAAGGGAAACAGAAAUCAAAGGCCAGGGGCUGACCAAUGUGGAGAGUCUCACAGGAGACCAGCAAUGCAUUUAGCUAGAAGAAACAACAGAAACAGGGUCACAGACAUUUCAGAAACUGAAACCCGCAGACAAAGACCAUACAACAGCCCUCAUAGUUUAAAGAACAGACAUAUUAGAAAAUAUCUGUACGGAAUAAAAAACUAUAAAAGUGAUCUAGCAGGUUUAAAAAAGAGAACCAAACAGAACUUUUAGGACUGAAAAAUAAAACCACCACCACCACAACAAAAUAGAUGGCUGUAAGUAGGUAAGAAACACAUGAAGAGGUAAGUAAACUGGAAUAUGGGUUAAAAGAAAUUAUACAGAAUAAAGCAUGACAAGAAAGAACAAUUGGAAAAUACAGAAGAGAGGGUGCUAAAAAGUGAAGACAGAACACUGAAGGUCUAUCAUGUUUAAUGAGAAUCUCCACAGAAAAAAAAGAGAAUGAGGAAGAGGUUAUAUGUGAAGGAGUAGUAUCUGAGAACUUCUCCAGAACUAAUAAUCAAAGACACAAAUCCAGAUUUAAAGAUCUCAACAAAUCUUAAGCAGGAUUAGUAAAAAUAAAUCCAUACUCAGAAACAUAUUAAUUAAAUUUCAUAAAACCAAAGCAGAUAAAAAAAGAGAUUUUCUUUUUUUUUUUAAGACGGAGUUUCGCUCUUGUUGCCCAGGCUAAAGUGCAAUGGCACGAUCUCGGCUCACUGUAACUCUGCCCCUUGGGUUCAAGCGAUUCUCCUGCCUUAGCCUUCCAAAUAGCUGGGAUUACAGGCGCCCACCAAAAUGCC